rnacentral:lncRNA from 1 species
UAAAUAUUACAGCAACCUGUUGGGUCUUGGUUUGAAUUUUGUUUAGUAAUAAAGCCCAUGAUUUGAGUAUGUUUGUGGUUUUCACAUUUGCAGGUUAGCAAACAAGACGUUGAGGAUACCUUUGAUGUUCCAUUUAGAGACUGUUUUGGAAGGAAAAGUUGCCACUGUUAUGUGUUUUACCUGUGCUGACUCUAAUCUUCUCCCUAAUACAUCAGAGGGUACCGGAAGCUUAAUGGGUGAGUUUCAUAUUCUGAUAAUGUUGACCACAGUCAACAAUCAACACCAAUAAAAAUUUGAUUAUCCAUGGGACUAAAUAAAAUAUGACAUAUUUUGCAUAUUGUGGAACAGGUACAUUGUUUCCGAUUGCAAUUCAGUAGGUGUUUUCUACGAUAACCAACACUGCACCGCUAUUGAAGGAAGCAGCUGCAGAUGCCAUUAAAGCCGGUUAGUAAAUGCCUAUAUAGAUUAGUGUCGUCAUUUUUUUGUGUGGCUAAGUAGAACUUUUAUUGAUUGAUAUAGUAAUAUGAACCUUAAUUUGAUUGUUGUUAUUGUAUUUCUAUUAUUUCAGGUUAGAUUUGGACUGUGGCCUAUUUCUUGCAGUGCAAACUGAGGGGGCCAUAGAAAGAAGGUUAUUGAGGAGGUGGAUGUAAACAAUGCACUUGUUAAUACAAUGACAGUCCAAAUGAGGCUGGGUAUGUUUGAUGGUGAGCCAUCUAAGCAGCCAUACGGACACUUAGGUCCACCAGAUGUGUGUUUGGCGACUAACAACCAACUCGCUCUUGAGGCUGCUCUACAAUGGAUAGUCUUGUUAUGUGACCGAGUUUAUCAAUAAAGUUUCUGUUAACAAGAAAAAAAAAAGGAAAAAAAAAGUAUAAAAAAAAGAAAACAAAAAAGAAACAAAGGAAAAAAAGAAAAGAAAAAAAAAAGAAAAUGAAAAAAAAAAGGAAAACAAAAGUGAAAAAGAACAAAUAGUAAAUAUAGUAGCAGGCCAGGAAAAUCAUUCAUUUGUAUGACAGUCAACGGAAUGCUGCGAGCACGUCCACCGAAGUAAGUGGUGUUUCUUUUAAUCCUGAUAUAUUAAGCACCUCAAAUUGUGAUUGACGACUGGUGUUCGCAAUAUUCUUUAGCUUUCGGAAGAGUAUGAAUAUGAUUUUUUUGCAUAUUAUUAUUGAUAAGGAUAUAUUUAGGAUGAUGACAUUUUCUUUAGUUAUAUCAUCCUAAACAGCUGUACUAACGCGGCACACACAUACGCAGGCACACACAAGGGGAACAUCUUGGAGUUUUUGUGUUUUCUUAUCCUCACAAGUAACGACAACCCUUUGCAGGUACCGUCUUCUUGAAAUCAUACCAUGUCACUAUUUUCUGGGGAUAUGUAUGAGAAAAGACAAGAUAGCUCUCAAUGAAUGAAGUUGUAAUCAACAUUGUCGAGUUGAAGAUUUCUUAAAACCUUGGGCUGGAAUCUACCUGUUACCGAAGACAAAAAAUCAAGUUUUGCGGAGCAGCUGAAUGGAGUUAUAGUGUUGUUCAGGACAAAAUCCAAGAACUACAUGCAUGGAGAGACUUGUAACCAAUGUUAGUAUCACUCACAGUCCCUUUAUUUUUCAGCUUGUGUCCAUUAUUUAAUGUUAUGUUUAAAAAUAAGGUAUAUCUUAUCUUCCAAGAAUUUGAAACACGGAGUGGAAAAGCAGAGGGGGAGAGAGAGAGGAGGUUAUCCAAAUCGGUCUUCAACUCAACUUUAGCUUAAGAUUAUGACCAUAUGAAUAUGACAUAAACAUCAUUCCAUCUAGUUGUUUGUCAAAUCAAAUACCCCAAUUAAGUCAUUAUAAUGUUUUUACUUCUUAGAAAUUCAUUUUGCACCAAACUACUACCAUCACUUUCUUUGAGCACCCUAUGUGUACUAGCGAUGGCAACAUUUUUGAUAUAUUAUGAUUAUCUUUCUAUUUAAAUUUUAUUAUGGGUUCGUAGCAUUUCACCGACAUAUUAUUUUGAAUUUGAUUGGAAUUUGAUUUGGGAGGUCCACACUACCCCAGAAUGUAAAUUUCUCAACAUUUUCAUGAUAGUAAUUUCCAUCUUUGAUUUUUGUAGGAAUGUAAUACUCGUAAGAGAAAGCAAGUUGAAAAACCAGAUGCUCCAAGGUUAUCCACUUCCAGGUUUAAAGUUCCCAAAUUGAAGAGUGCCUCUCCACGUACCACAUACUAAAAUGAAAAAAUGAAAAGAAAUGAAAAAAGAAAAAAAGUAAAAAAGAAAAGAGAGGAAAAAAAAGGAAAAAAAAAAGAAAAAGAAAAGAAAAAAUGGAAUAAGAGAAGAAAAAAACAAACUAUGCUACUUAAAGAAAAGAAAAAAUGGAAUAAGAGAAGAAAAAAACAAACUAUGUAAUUGUAGUAGCAGGCCAGGAGUAUUGAUCAUGUGUAUGACAACUAUUGGAACGCUGCAAGCACGUCCACCAAAGUAAGUAGUGUUGCUUUAAUUCCUAAUCUUUCAUGUGUAUUAUAGGCAAUGAACCAUUUACUAGGGAUGAUUUGAUAACAAUUCAAGUAUGCAAUAGUGUCCAUUCAUUGUGUUCUGUUUGCUGAAAGUUGAUACUAAAAAUUUCAAUGACCUUUUUGUCUUGAGAUGUGUAUUUUACGAGAUAUCUACAAUAUGUAAUCCAUCGAAUGGAAGGGCAACUGAAAAAUAUCCUGUCUUUGUGUCCAUUAGACGUUACCCUAUGCCAUUGUUUUGAAAUGCCCACCAACCCAUUUUGAUGGAGAGCUUGAAGUGUCAACAUUGCUCAUGGUAUAACUGUGAAAUUCAAGUAUCCAUGCACUGCCAUGGAAUGUUAACCCAUGAUCAGAAAAUGAGACUGAUCGAAAUGUAUAACUUUCAGGAUUUUAAUUUCAAAAUUUCAUGGAAAGGAAUAAAUUUAUCAGAUUGGUACUCUACUUGUAGAAAUUUUAAAUAUGAUGCAAACUAUCAAAAAUUUGAUUUUUGUGAGAUUGCUUUUGUGUUUGCAUGAUUUGUGAGAAAAGUAAUUUUAUGAUUUAUUUGAUUUAGCAGUAGACAUUGAAGUCGUGUAUGAAUAUCACGUCGAAAAUUGAAUGCACAUUAUAUAAUCGAGUGUGAUCAUUUCGAUAUUUGUCAAACUUGUCAGGUAAAAAGCACAAAUACUUCAGAUGCUGCCUCAUGGUCCUUCACUUCUACUUCUUAUGAUCGUGUCACUAAGUAUAAAUAUGAAUAUGUCAAAGGUGAAGAAACCCUUAGAAGAAAGGGUAUGUUUGGUUACACAAUACAUGGUGACUUGAACGUAGAACUGCAUUGUGACUUAGCUUCCAGGGAAUGUGAAAAUUUAUCACAUUAUGUGAGUGUGGCUACUGCAAUGGUUAUCUUUCCAUCAAAGUAUUAGGUAUGCAUCUUUGCCAUCUUUUUCAUUGUGUUCCUUGCUUUUGUUAAUGAUUUCUAAUCCCAAAAUCACCGGUGCUUUUUGGCCCUAUUAUUUAGUAAUUAUAUGGGUGGUGAUCCCACUGUUUUUUGGCCUUUUAAAGAUGAACUACACUCAAAAGUAGUUCAGUCGGGGAGGGGUGUUUUUAGUAUUGCAAACAGUAGUCCUCACACAAAUGUUUCCCAAUUCUUCAUCCUAUAAAUGUCUGCGAAUCAUCUGAACUUCAAUCAUACUGUUUUUGGUGGAGUUGUAGGGUUCUUGACUACCCUAGAAGUAAUGAUAGAGGGGAAAAUCCAAACAGUAGAUACUAAUUAAAUCAUAUCCGUUUCGUCAUUUAUUGCAUUUCAGCUCUCAACUUCCCGCUGUAUAACUAAAGCAUGCCAUUAUUUUUCUUGAAAUUUUUUAUUGAAUACAGAUUAUAAAUUUCAAGCUUUGAAUCUACCUCACAACAAAUCAAGAUUGGCACUAACCAGCAAUGCUGUACCAAGAUGUGUUCUUCUACUAGUAAAGAAGAUCAAAAGGUUUGUAUUGAACCCCACUAUCCGGAGAUGCUAAUAAAAUAAGUAGCCUAUUUAUUAAAUUAUUUUAGUCAUUUCAUAAGGGGAUAGUAUUAUCUGACUUUGUUGUUUUGUUAGUGAUAUUUUUUUCCGUGAAAAGAGUAUUUCCAAAUUCGAAUGACUAAUGUAUUUGUGUCCUGAUUGGUAAUAUGUUAUUGCAGUGGUAAAAAUGCUUGGCAAACAAAUGUGGCUUAUGACGCAUGCAUUAGCUUGGUUCUGCAUGCAGGGGGCAAGAGGCUGCACAAAAAUCUCUGAAUUUUGUACGAUGAGUGCUUGGUUGUUUGGAGUGCCUUUAGGUAUGUUACCAACCUUAGAAAUUAGAAUAUUGUUAUUUAAAAUGACUAGGAAAGUAUACCUCUUGUUACAAACCCUAACAUUUCAUCUUAUAUAUAUAUAUAUCAUCACUAGGCACACAGUUCGAUUUGGAAUUUUUCAAAAACUUAAUGCGAUUUUCUUCUUCUUCGACAUUGAGAUUAUCUUUAAGUUCCAAAGUAUGACGUUUUAUUUAUUUAUUUGGUGCAGCUAUUAUUAGGUGGUGGUGGUGGUACUGGUCCAAAUCCAAUACACAAUUCAUCCAUUUGCAUAAUCUCUAUUGUUAUGAGUUUCUCUUCUCCAAGAUUACCUUUUCAAAUUCGUAAAACCCAUAACUUCCCAGGUACUACUACUAGGAAGCUCAGAGGGCUUUGCUAAUUUUUUGUAUUAUUUUAGGAUUUAACCGCUAUAUCUGUAACUUCAAAUUUUCUACUCUUUCCAAAGUUAUGCAUUCUACUGUAUAUUGCUUGAAUGCUUAAUUUUUCAUUUAUCUUCUUAUGUCCCUGUUCCUUUCACCUUGAAAUUGUUUUUACCAUGCAUUCAUGCUUUAAAACUCUAGCACAUAUAUGCUCUAAGCCUCUAACACUGUCCUACAUUUAUCGCUUUUACCAUGCAGGGAAUAUCACAAAACCCUAUGCCGCCACAUGUGAUAUAUUUCCAGGUACAGAAAAUUUUGUUUCCGUUAUAUCCUAUGUAAAUCUCCCCCCCCCCCCCCCCCCCCCCAAAAAAAACACACACACACAUGCAGCUUCUCCAUAGGGAUCAAGCAAUUGUCCAGACUUGAGUUAUGAUUUUCUAUAUUUUCCCAUUAAUAUUUUCAUUUUUUUUUCUUGUAGAUUUGGAAGACAGAGGCACAACCACUACUAUGUAAUUUGUCUCAGUUUCUUUUAUUACUAUGGAAGGUGGAGUGAUAAAGGUAAUGACAAACAUCUUUUUUGUCUCCCAAUAGUUCCCUAUUUAUACCACUUAAAGAACAUUAAGAAAAUAAUAUAUGUUUGGAGUUUCUUAUCCACAAUGUUGCCUCACUAGACCUUAUGAGUAGUCUUGGUAGAAGCAUCUAUGAUCAUAUAAUCCUCUAAUUUUGAGCAGAUUUCUCACUCCUGAUCAUGACAAACAGAUGAAGAUAAAUGUAUCUGGAGCUAAAUCAGAAGCUAUUUUGGAAGGAAAAGUUGCCACUAUUAUGUGUUCUUACAAGUUACAAUCUAGUUAAUUGAAUUCCUACCUGUGCUGACCCUAAUCUUCUACGUAAUACAUCAGAGGGUACUGGAGGCUUAAUGGGUGAGUUUCAUAUUCCGAUUAUGUUGACCAAAGUCAACAAUCAACACCAAUAAAAAUUUGAUUACAUCCAUGGGACUAAAUAAAAUAUGACAUAUUUUUCAUAUGUGUGGAACAGGUACAUUGUUUCCGAUUGCAAUUCAGUAGUUGUUUUCUACGAUAACAACCACUGCACCGCUAUUGAAGGAAGCAGCUGCAGAUGCCAUUAAAGUCGGUUAGUAAAUGCCUAUAUAGAUUAGUGUCGUCAUUUUUGUGUGUUUGGCUAAGUAGAACUUUUAUUUUAUUGAUAUAGUAACAUGAACCUCAAUUUGAUUGUUGUUAUUGUAUUUCUAUUAUUUCAGGUUAGAUUUGGACUGUGGCCUAUUUCUUGCAGUGCACACUGAGCUGGCCAUAGAAAGAAGGUUAUUGAGGAGGUGGAUGUAAACAAUGCACUUGUUAAUACAAUGACAGUCCAAAUGAGGCUGGGUAGGUUUGAUGAUGAGCCAUCUAAGCAGCCAUACGGACGCUUAGGUCCACCAGAUGUGUGUUUCUCGACUAACAACCAACUAGCUCUUGAGGCUGCUCUACAAUGGAUAAUCUUGUUGUGUGAUUCCUUGAGUUUAUCAAUAAAGUUUCUGUUAAGAAGAAAAAAAAAGGAAAAUAAAAAAAUAGAAAAAAAAAAAAAACAAAGGAGAAAAAAGAAAAAAUAAAAGGAAAAAAGAAAAUGAUAGAAAAAGGAAAACAAAAGUGAAAAAGAAAAAAUAGUAAUUAUAGUAGCAGGCCAGGAAAAUCAUUCAUUUGUAUGACAGUCAACGGAAUGCUGCGAGCACGUCCACCGAAGUAAGUGGUGUUUCUUUUACUCCUGAUAUAUUAAGCACCCCAAAUUGUUGAUUGACAACUGGUGUUCGCAAUAUGCUUUAGCUUUGGAAAGAGUAAGAAUAUGAUUUUUUUGCAUAUUAUUAUUGAUAAGGAUAUAUUUAGGAUGAUGGCAUUUUCCUUGGUUAUCAUCCUAAACAGCUGUACUAACGUGGCACACACAUACACAUGCACACACAAGGGGAACAUCUUGGAGUUUUUGUGUUUUCUUAUCUUCACAAGUAACGACAACCUUUGCAGGUACUGUCUUCUGGAAAUCAUACCAUGUCACUAUUUUCUGGGGAUAUGUAUGAGAAAAGACAAGAUAGCUCUCAAUGAGUAUGAAGUUGUAAUCAACAUUGUCGAGCUGAAGAUUUCUUAAAACCUUGGGCUGGAAUCUACCUGUUACGGAAGACAAAAAAUCAAGUUUUGUCUGGGGAGAUGCUGGCUUGACAUUUUGGAGUCCAAAUGUGAACAUAUUUAGAGACCCAAGGUGGGGUCAUGGACAAGAAACUCCUGUUGAAGACCCAGUUUUAGCCGGUAAGUAUGCCGCUAGCUAUGUGAGAGGACUCCAACUCUCCAAGGUUACGGAGGUAACCCAUUGAAGGUAGCAGCAUGUUGUAAACAUUACACAGCAGACGAGCUUGAUAACUGGAAUGGCGUUGAUGCUUCCACUUUGAUGCCAAGGUAAAUAUUACAGCAACCUGUUGGGUCUUGGUUUGAAUUUUGUUUAGUAAUAAAGCCCAUGAUUUGAGCAUGUUUGGGGUUUUCACAUUUGCAGUUUAGCAAACAAGACGUUGAGGAUACCUUUGAUGUUCCAUUUAGAGACUGUUUUGGAAGGAAAAGUUGCCACUGUUAUGUGUUCUACCUGUGCUGACUCUAAUCUUCUACCUAAUACAUCAGAGGGUACCUGAAGCUUAAUGGGUGAGUUUUAUAUUCUGAUAAUGUUGACCACAGUCAACAAUCAACACCAAUAAAAAUUUGAUUAUCCAUGGGACUAAAUAAAAU